UGACCGAUUUCUCUUGGUGUUCAG
rnacentral:miRNA from 1 species